rnacentral:lncRNA from 1 species
UAGUUAUUGUGAGGCCCCCAACACAUACAGCAGAGAACCUGCCACGUCUCGGUUCAGUCAGAGAAGAUACACCUAAUCAAGAGACUGGAGGCCCAGGGAGUUUAGAGUGGGGUAGAGAUGCUGAGGAAUAUAUGAAGUUGAAAGCGGAUAAAUGAAGGAUGAAUGACUUAAGACAAAGGCAACACCAAUAUGAACAAGGCUACUUGAGUUUGGCCAAAAUCUUUCUCAUAAAAUAAAAAUAAAAGAAUCAAGCACCGAACUGUAAGCGUGGCUUGAGAAUGAAACGUCAUCCUGCUGCACACUUUUAUAACAAUACUCUUGAAAUAUUUAAAACCAGAUAACCAAAGGACAAUCUUCCUCCAGUGUCCUUUGCUGUAGUCUCCCAUAAGCCUGAAGCAGGCUAAGCCAGAACUUGACCUUGAUGCCACUAAGAAGAUUAUCUAGGGUGGAGCCUUCCUCUCUAGAUCACUCCAUUGUUCUGCAACUGCUGCUGUUCCUCUUCAAGAUACUGCUACCUGCUGAGAGGCCCCUGGGCUAUUCUGGAAACUUUGCCCUAUCCUGCAGGUCAUCACUUGCAGCUGGUUCCAGGUUCCAAGGAUGAAUUGGCAGAAUGGACUUUCUCCCCUUUUCUUUAUAAGGCAUGUUCCCCUACAUUAAAGUUGAACCUUGAACAGA